ensembl:misc_RNA 7SK 7SK RNA
GGGAGUGUGGGAGUGAGCCAGCUGGGACAUCUGUUAUCCCUGUUGAUCUCCAGGGCUGAUUCUGCUGAUCUGGCUAGCUAGACAAAUGUCCCCUUCCUCCCUCCCCACACCCCACCUGUGAGCCCCUCCCAGACUUCACUACUGAUCAGAGAAGGAGGACAUUCUUCAGUCAAGGAUGUGUGAGUAGUUGUGUUCUGCUGACAGACCUCAGAACAAAGCCCUAAGCAUUGCAUG